GGGGAUUCGUGGUUUCCCUGGGCCACAAGGUAUUACAGGUACUCCUGGACCUGAGGGUUCCCGAGGACCAAAAGGCUUCCCGGGUGCAUCUGGUGAAAAAGGAAGCAAAGGAGUUCCAGGAUUCAAUGGCCUGCCAGGGCCUCCAGGACCACAAGG